GCAGGGGUGCAGCCGAAUGAGCUGACGGUGAGCAGCGUGCUGCCCGCGUGCGCGGCUGUUGGGGCCAUGGAGCUGGGGAGGAAGGUGGAGGAGUACGCGAGGGGCAAAGGCCACCUGGUGAAUGUGUAUGUGGCCAAUGCACUGCUGGAGAUGUAUGCCAAGUGUGGCAGCAUCCAGAGAGCUUGGCAGGUGUUUCAGGGGAUCGGUCGUCGGCGAGAUCUCUGUUCUUCGAACUCAAUGAUCAUGGCAUUCGCCUUGCAUGGCUCCUGGAGGGAAGCACUUGCCUUGUUCCAUAAGUUGAGGAUGACAGGGGCUAAACCAGAUGGUAUCACAUUUGUUGGAGUCAUUUUGGCUUGCACUCAUGGAGGUUUGGUAGAUGAAGGAAAGCUACUCUUCAACUCCAUGGAGGCCGAAUUUAGUAUUACUCCAAGAAUUGAGCACUAUGGUUGCAUGGUUGAUCUGCUUGGGCGUGCUGGUCUCCUGAAUGAAGCCUACAGUAUGAUAGUAAGCAUGCCAGUGGAGCCUGACGCCGUCAUCUGGGGAGCCUUGCUCGGUGCCUGCAGCUUCCAUGGAAACGUAGAACUAGCGGAAACAGCAGUAAACAAACUCAUCUUUCUUGAGCCACAAAACACUGGAAAUCUGGUGAUCCUGUCAAACAUAUACGCGUCGUCUGGAAAAUGGGACGGUGUUGCCCAGGUAUGGAAGUUACUCAAGGAGAAAGACCACAAGAAAUCAGCUGGGUACAGCUUCAUAGAGCUAGAUGGCAGGAUGCACAAGUUCCUUGUUGAGGAUAAGUCACAUCCAAGAUUUGUGGAGGUGUACAGCACCCUUGACAGUGUCACAAUGCUCAUGAAGCUUGUCGGACUAGAAAAUGAGGAAGAAGCGGAACAGCUGUUUCUGUCACCUGUAGAGAUCUAA
rnacentral:rRNA from 1 species